AAGGGUCCAAGAAAAACACAGACGCCCAUAUAUAUAAAAGGCAAGAAUGCAAAAAACCAGCAAAUUAAACCUCUUCAUUUUCUUCCCCUUCUUCACCAUUAAUUCUUCCUUCCAUUUUUGAAACCCCUUUUAAUUACAGAAUCACGAGGGAGCGUCGGCGCGUGUCACUCCACCGCCACCACACACAUAUAUAUAUGUAUGUAUGUAUUGUCUCUCUCUGUUUAACAUUAUAUAAACAGAAGAAUAAUACCAACAAAAGUUAAACAUCAAAUUCAAUUCUCCAUCCCUCUCUCUCACAUCGAGUAUAUAUAUAUAUAUAUAGUGAGAGAGAGAGAGAGAGUGGAGAUUGGUGGAAGAAAAAUGGCGAUAUGGGGGAGUCUCACACACUACCUUUCCUUGAAAACGAAGAAAACCAAUCUCUACUACAUGGUUGUAACCACCGUGCUCUGCUCCCUCUUCUACCUAAUCGGAAUCUGGCAGCACGGCGGCGCCGCCGCGGACUCGGCCGCCACCUCGCUCCUCCCCUCCGU
rnacentral:lncRNA from 1 species